rnacentral:lncRNA from 1 species
AGAGUUUGCCCGUUUAAAAUGUUUUGGAAUCCAUCCACUUUGGCUUUUCGCUAGAUUUUUCAUGGCAUUGAAAAACACAGUUGGACAUUUAUCCUACUCACUGGAGUCCUCAAUUUUAUUUCCAUCUGGAAUCGCACACCAGUACUUGUGGGGCAGUUAACUUGGCUGAGGAAAGUGUUAUGGAAUUAUCCUUUGAACUUAGUGAGUAUCUACUUAAUAGACUGGAUCUGCUCAGAGGAUUUUAGGAUGCUCUGGAGCAGAGACCUAAGGGCAAUUCAUGAAUCAGCACCAGGAGGAAGAGCCCAUCCUUGUCCGCUCUGCUGGGCCAUAAAGAUGAGCAGGAUAUGAAACAACGCUUCCACUAUCUUUGUUCCAAGCUACUACAUCAAAGUAUUAAUGAAGGGUUCCAGUGGGAAAACUUUUGUGACUGCACAGAGAGCAGUGUCAUACUGACAACAUACUGCUGGCAGACAUCAGCUACAUUUAAGUGAUGACAAGAUUAAGGUAGGAACUGAGCUCAAGUGGGUCAAGGAUAGAAGCUUAUAAAGGUCACAUGCAAAACCAGAAUGAUGAAAAAAAUCUGGAAGGUAAAUUUUAAAGUGGACAGUUUCAAAGGUAAGAAACAAUCUUGGAUUUUCAAGAGACUAUAAAUGAGAGAAUAGUGUCUGCUGGACUCAUCACGUGUCCAAACAAAUGGAGUUUUGAAGUAUCAAAACCCUGAAGGAGAGAAACAGAAAGGGACAUUUUUCAGAUGGUCAGCCCAAACAACAGCAUGGAUGUCUCUGAUGGUUUUAGUAGACUUUGUACCAUAACUUACUGACAUAAACUUUUUUGAAUUUCUAGCUGAAUUUCUGAAAAAUGAAGGACAUGAUGUUCAGAAAAAAAAGAAACAAAAAGUGUGAACCUGCAAUAAGAAAGACUUCAGACCGUGCAAGUUUCUGAAAGCAUCACAGCUUCAAAAACAGAGGACUGUUUUUAGGUAGGAGGAAGUAAUGAAAAACAUUGUAAAAUGCUUUUGUUGAGUUUUUUUGACCUUUUACCAAGUGCUCCAGGCCUGCAUGAAACGUUUGAUAAAGCAUGCUCAUGAUUCUUUGUGAUGGCAACUGUGGGCAAACAAGACUUGGAGUCCUUAGCUGGGCCCUGCCAUGGCCAGCCAAGCCUGGGGAAGAUUUUCAGGCUAACACUUGAUAUGUAAAUCUGUUCUCGACUCUGCAGUGAUGCUUAGCUACUUGGUUCCCAAUAGAAUGAAGCUAAAACCUUAAAAACAUCCCUGCAGUUUUGCACCUGAAUAACUGAGCUGGAAGGGGUACAUAUAUGAGCAGUAGAUGUAUAUUUUUUCCAGAGAUGUUUCUUGGCUCAUCAAAACCAAAUUUCUGAAUUCAUUUGUGUAUUUGCUUAUCUU